UAGAGUUUGAUCCUGGCUCAGAACGAACGCUGGCGGCGUGGAUAAGACAUGCAAGUCGAACGAGAGAAUUGCUAGCUUGCUAAUAAUUCUCUAGUGGCGCACGGGUGAGUAACACGUGAGUAACCUGCCCCCGAGAGCGGGAUAGCCCUGGGAAACUGGGAUUAAUACCGCAUAGUAUCGAAAGAUUAAAGCAGCAAUGCGCUUGGGGAUGGGCUCGCGGCCUAUUAGUUAGUUGGUGAGGUAACGGCUCACCAAGGCGAUGACGGGUAGCUGGUCUGAGAGGAUGUCCGGCCACACUGGAACUGAGACACGGUCCAGACACCUACGGGAGGCAGCAGUCGAGAAUCAUUCACAAUGGGGGAAACCCUGAUGGUGCGACGCCGCGUGGGGGAAUGAAGGUCUUCGGAUUGUAAACCCCUGUCAUGUGGGAGCAAAUUAAAAAGAUAGUACCACAAGAGGAAGAGACGGCUAACUCUGUGCCAGCAGCCGCGGUAAUACAGAGGUCUCAAGCGUUGUUCGGAAUCACUGGGCGUAAAGCGUGCGUAGGCUGUUUCGUAAGUCGUGUGUGAAAGGCGCGGGCUCAACCCGCGGACGGCACAUGAUACUGCGAGACUAGAGUAAUGGAGGGGGAACCGGAAUUCUCGGUGUAGCAGUGAAAUGCGUAGAUAUCGAGAGGAACACUCGUGGCGAAGGCGGGUUCCUGGACAUUAACUGACGCUGAGGCACGAAGGCCAGGGGAGCGAAAGGGAUUAGAUACCCCUGUAGUCCUGGCAGUAAACGGUGCACGCUUGGUGUGCGGGGAAUCGACCCCCUGCGUGCCGGAGCUAACGCGUUAAGCGUGCCGCCUGGGGAGUACGGUCGCAAGAUUAAAACUCAAAGAAAUUGACGGGGACCCGCACAAGCGGUGGAGUAUGUGGCUUAAUUCGAUGCAACGCGAAGAACCUUACCUGGGCUUGACAUGUAAUGAACAACAUGUGAAAGCAUGCGACUCUUCGGAGGCGUUACACAGGUGCUGCAUGGCCGUCGUCAGCUCGUGUCGUGAGAUGUUUGGUUAAGUCCAGCAACGAGCGCAACCCCUGUUACCAGUUACCAGCACGUGAAGGUGGGGACUCUGGCGAGACUGCCCAGAUCAACUGGGAGGAAGGUGGGGACGACGUCAGGUCAGUAUGGCCCUUAUGCCCAGGGCUGCACACGUACUACAAUGCCCAGUACAGAGGGGGCCGAAGCCGCGAGGCGGAGGAAAUCCUAAAAACUGGGCCCAGUUCGGACUGUAGGCUGCAACCCGCCUACACGAAGCCGGAAUCGCUAGUAAUGGCGCAUCAGCUACGGCGCCGUGAAUACGUUCCCGGGUCUUGUACUCACAGCCCGUCA
rnacentral:rRNA from 1 species